UGGCAUUUGCCUCUCUCUCCUCCAAGAAAGCUUGCUCUAGCCUUUCUGAAUUUCUUCUUCUUCGUUCUUCUUCCUGAAAUCGACCCAACAACUGUUCCUUUAGCAAGUAAACAGAAAAACUGAAACUUGAAACUGCAAUAUUUGUGUUGGGGGUUUGGAAUUGAGCAUAUUAAUAUAUCGAUAAUAAUAUAGAAUGUCUUACAAUAAUAAUUUAGAUCCGCCUCGUACAAACUCGACACCAACACUUUCAACUAGUGCUUCCAGUUCAAGCUCAAGUCAAGUGAAGGUUUAUCAGUUCUUCAUGUUCUGCGUCCCCAUAUUCUUCACUUUUCUCCUUCUCUUUUUGUUCUAUUUGUUCUAUCUUCGCCCUCGUCGCCUCAACUGGUCCUCUCUUCGCAUGCCAACCUCUUCCACUCUCAAUUUCGACCACUUUCUUCCCACGAUUGAGUCGUCGGGGUUGAACAAGGAGUUGCGAGAGAUGCUUCCCAUUAUUGUCUACAAGGAGAGCUUCUCUGUCAGAGAUACCCAAUGUUCAGUGUGCCUCGGAGACUAUGAAGCAGAUGACAGGCUUCAACAAAUACCUGCGUGCGGCCAUACAUUUCACAUUGAUUGCAUUGAUCACUGGCUUGCCACCCACACCACCUGCCCGCUCUGCCGCCUAUCCCUGCUUUCCUAUGCUAAAUCUCCAGCUGAAUCGUCUAAUAUACAGGUUGGAAAUACACUAGGGCCUUCUGUUGCGGAGAAUGACGGUGAAUCAUCUCUUCAACAGAGUCCUGAGCCGUGUGAACAAGUCGCCGAGUUGAGGACCAGGGAUGCAAUGCACAACAGCGGUGAAGAAAAUGCGGGAAGAUCUCAUUGUGUUGAUUGUGAGAGAGAACAAUCGGAGUGCAAGGGACAAGCCAUUAAUGCAUAGCAUCCUGGUGAGUUUUGGGGUAAUCUGCUGUUUGUAUAUACUACUUGCACAGAUACUGAUGAAUGAUAGGAUUAAAGUUGUGAAAAUUAGAUGAAGUUUCUUAGCUUUUCCUAGUCCCAAAUCUUCUUAUUAAAAGUGGGGGAGAAGAUUUGUUUCUUGGUUAUAAGAGCCGUUCAUGGGACUUUUUGUUUCUCUUUUGAUUGUUGUGGAAAACGUUAAUAAUGGAUGGGGAUCAAAAUCACACCUUACUGUUGUACGAUGAAAAUAAGCUUGUCAUAUAUUAAGAUUUGAAUGACGAUGGGAGUGCGGAACACGAGGACUGGUUGUUUGCCAGGUAAGAUAUAGACUCCUGAAGACCAAUCAGAACAGCAAGUUAGAGUUGGUUAAUUUUCUGCUGGGGAGAAUCCUCACGGCUAUUUCGAGUUUGCUGGAGUGAGAAACUGCACAGGUUUGGGAACUCUUGAUAGGGAGAGCUUCAUUAACUCUGAGGGUGUGCAAGAAAUGGUGUGUCCCGAACAUCGUUAAAUUGUUGACAGCAACUGACUGGUAGGGUCCACU